CCACAGCAAGCUUCCAGAUUUGCUCUCUAAAUGGGACUUAGACCUAAAGAAGUUGCAUCAGGUUCAUUGUUACUCAGGAUGCGUGAGCAGCACCCAGCUUCCCUGCCUGCCAAAGUGAGUGUUAAUUACUGCAAAUCAAACAGCAACUUCUUCAGAGCACAGUGAAGUCUUUAAAUACCUCCACACGCAGGUGGCACAGCACGUCGUGUUCAGGUGAUACAUUGCAGGACUAUGUGGAGCUGUUUGCAUCUGUUGGACCAUUUACUCAAGAGACCAGCAAAACCACAAACACCAGCAGUGGAAGGAUUAGUGAG